rnacentral:rRNA from 1 species
GACGAACGCUGGCGGCGUGCCUAAUACAUGCAAGUCGAACGCAUUUUCUUUCACCGUAGCUUGCUACACCGAAAGAAAAUGAGUGGCGAACGGGUGAGUAACACGUGGGUAACCUGCCCAUCAGCGGGGGAUAACACUUGGAAACAGGUGCUAAUACCGCAUAAUUCCAUUUACCGCAUGACAGAUGGAUGAAAGGCGCUUUUGCGUCACUGAUGGAUGGACCCGCGGUGCAUUAGCUAGUUGGUGGGGUAACGGCCUACCAAGGCUGCGAUGCAUAGCCGACCUGAGAGGGUGAUCGGCCACACUGGGACUGAGACACGGCCCAGACUCCUACGGGAGGCAGCAGUAGGGAAUCUUCGGCAAUGGACGCAAGUCUGACCGAGCAACGCCGCGUGAGUGAAGAAGGUUUUCGGAUCGUAAAACUCUGUUGUUAGAGAAGAACAAGGAUGAGAGUGGAAAGUUCAUCCCUGACGGUAUCUAACCAGAGUMCGWWUUG